rnacentral:other from 1 species
GGCGGACUGCUGUGUUGGUGACUGCCUUCUACAGUUUUCUGAUCUGACUCCCCUUUCGACAUGGGGGUCUGCAGCGGAAGCAACGUAGGCCGGCCCUCGAGCUGGAAACGGCGCCCCGCCCUUGACCCCCUUCUGGUUCCACCAGGUCGAACACUGGGGCAAGACGGCACGGCGGUCCACCC